AUAAAUCAAAUCUCUUAAACCUGGGAUUGAAAAACCAGUGAAAGGGACAGCAUUCUGGCUUCGGGUUGCACACAGUUCCAGUUUGUUUGCUGGGGGGAAGGCCUUUUUCCUGGGGCCUGCUUUACAGCGACUCCUGCAACAUUUCAGUCCAAAGUUCCCUUUCCUUGAUUAAUGUAAUUUUCCGUGUUUUCUUGGUAACUCAGAACCAAUGAGGAACAAUGAUCUGGGAAACCACCCCCUGCAGUUCCUUUUGAUGGGGUCCUCAGUGGAACAGAACAACCAAUUAUGGCUGGCACCCAGGGAGGUUGCUUUUAAACAGCAGCCAUGGCAGCAGCCACAGCAGCCUGAUAUCACUUCCACCUGCGCCUUCCUGCAACACGGGAGGCUGUGUGGUGUCAGGGUUGUGCACGAAACAGACCCAGAUCAUCUCUGGCCAACUGGCAUUGCUUUUGCAAGCAUGUGUGAAGGGCUCUUAUUUUUAAGAUGCCUCCUGGGUGAAAUCAGAAGGUCAAGGAAGUGGAAAAAUGAUCGGCGCACCUGGGGAUUUCUAAAGGUGCCCAGGGAUUGCGGCUGCUGCUGGUCUGGAGACUGCAUUUUGAGAAUCACUCGCUUACGGAGCUAAGAAUUAUGGAGAUUGUGGUAUACCCACACAGUAGAAUAUUAUUCAGCCAUAAGAACGAAUGAAGUACUGAUGUGAAGGACUCUCUUUAUUAAGGUCUCUUUGUUUGAACCAUCUGGGGUGAGUUUGUUUCCUGUUGGGACUCUGAUUGAUACACCCUACUCCUCCCGCUGGGGCCACUGACGUGGCUCCUUACAUGUUUGUUCUGGGUACAACCCAAGCAAGGCAAUGGAGUCGCAACAACCUCAGUCUUAGACGCGGAGAUGAGUUCUCUGGAUUUCCUCUUCCUGCCUGGUGUUCUCCGGGGAGGCUGGAGGCCUGUGCUUGCCGCGGACCAGCCCUUCCACAGGGACUUUGAGCAUCAUUGGACCUUGAAUGUCAGCUGGUCCGACCUUUACUUGGCUUCUCUCCACAGAAUCCUUGCAAGGUCUGAGUUUAUCAGUAACUUCCUCCAGCAAGCCUCCACAGAGAGGACCAACUUCUCCAGGAUUCAGAAGAACAGAAGGGGAAAUAACAGGCAUUUGGCACUGUUCUUGUCCACCUGAUGCAAGACAAUUCGUCUCUGUACUUGUGUUUUGGCCAGCAUGAUGGAAAAAGGGAAUAAGAAAGGAUUCUCUCCCUUGAAGAUAUGACCUAGAAGUUACACGCACCACUUCUGCUCAUAUGCCAUUAGCAAGAACUCAGCACUCCACUUUAAGUUGCAGGUCCUUCCAGUUGUGGGAUGUGGGACACCGCCUCAAUGUGGCCUGACGAGCGGUGCCAUGUCCACGCCCAGGAUCUGAACCCUGGGCUGCCGCAGCAGAACGCACGAACUUAACCACUCGGCCAUGGAGCCAGCCCCUGAAGAGUGUCUUUUAAUUCACCAAAUGAUGUUUUCCUUUUUAGUAGGCAUUUUGUUGAUUUCCAAUUUAAUUCUAUUGUUAUCACAUAAUAUGAACAUAUAAUGUCAAUUCUUUGAAAUUUCUUAAGACUAUCUUUGUGACCUAUAACAUGAUCAUUUUUUGUAAAUUUUCGAUAUGAGCUAAAAAAUGAAUAUAGUCUCUAUUGUUGGAUGCAAGUUUAAAGUAUGAACUCUCACCACCAUGUCCAUCAAAAGUCUAUAUCUAUAUUUUUUCCCAAAAAGUGGGAUCAUAUUGUAUAUAUUAUCUUGCGAAUUUCUUUUAAAAAUGUUAUGAUAUAUUAUGGAAAUAUUUCCAUGCAAAUACACAUGACUUGGUACACAUCCUUAAGUAUUUUAUCAGAAUAAAUUCCAUGUGUGAGACUGCUCCUUCAAAGGAUAUGAUUUUUCAAAUGACUUCUUUUAAAUUAUUGCUAUGAUUGUCAGUUUGCCCCCCAGAGGUGUCAAACCAAUUUUUACUUCCUUUAGUCCUGUAGAACAUUGCCCAUUUCUUGCACCUUCUCAAGCAUUGUGUAUCAUCACAUUUUUAUCUUUGUUGAUGCUCAAGCUGCGUUCUUUUGCUGAUGAGGAGAGAGAAGCUUGGAGAUGCACAGCAGUUGGCAAAAUAAAGCAGAGGGAGCUCCAGGAGUGGCUUCUGCCUCUCAUUUCCUGCCCAGGACACGGGGUGGAAAAAUGACAAAGUCCAGCUGUGCCUCUCAUUCACAUCCAGAAUUGUGAAUUCGAAAAUUCUUUUAUUCUGUCCAGCACCAACUGGGCUGAAAUUUUGUGAAAGAGAUGUCUUUCUCCUGAGGGAUGAAUCAAACCUGCCAACAUCUAUGCCUCAUCCAGGACACAGAGUUUGACAAAUAUUUUUCAGUCAAAUGUGUUUUCUUAGCUGCAAAACAAUCAAGGUUCUCUUUUGCUGGCUGUGUAGCUCAGCUGGGUCCCAGUAGCUCUGGUCUCUGCCCAAAUGCUUUUAGGACUUCCCUUCAGCACCUGGCAGCACUGGGGCCACCCACCUAUCCCAGUUAAGGUCACUGGUCUUUUGGAAGCAAAGAGAUGUAGCCACUUCAAUGCAGAAACCAAAAUAACAAUUGGACUUUUGUACCUCUGACCCCAUGUGAGCCUCAUACCACCCUUUGAGCUAAGAAUGAUUAUUCUUUCUCUUUUAUAGAUGAGUACACUGAGGGUUUAAAAAGGGUAGGGAAUUUUGUUAGUUUACUCAGCAAGAAAGAGGACUUCCUUGCCUACUUUCACUGUGUAAUCUGCGGUCCCCUGCCAGUCGCUAUCACAUUACUCUAUUUUCUUAACGUCGCCUUCUUUAUUUAUUUACUCAUUGUGGUAGACAGCCUCCAAGAUGGCGCCCAAUGAUUCUCACCUCCCAGCGUUCAUGCCAUCGUGCAGUCUCCUCCCACAUUGAAUCAUGCUGGUCUGUGUGACUAAGAGUAUAGCAGAAAUGAUGCCAUCUGACUUUCAAGGCUAGGUCAUAAAGGCAUAGCUCUUUCCUGCUUAGGGAAGCCAGCUGCUUUACCAUGGGGACCCUCAAGCAUCCCAAGGAGAAGCCCACAUAAAGAGUGACUGGGGCCUCCUACUAACAAGCACCAUCAACUUGCCAGCCACGUGAAUGAGCCACCUUGGAAGUGGAUCCAUCAGCCCAGGUGAGCCUUCAGAUGACUGCAGCCUGGGUGACUCUAACUGAAAUCUCACAAGAGACCUUCAACCAGAACUGCCCAGCCAAGCCUCUCCUGAGUUCCUGAUCCACUUGUGAUCCUGUUUGAGAUAUUGGAAUUGAGACUAUGAGAGAUGACAAAUGGUUGUUGUUGUUUGAAGCAAGUAUUGGGUAAUUUGUUAUGCAGCAAUAGACAGCUAAGACACUUAUUUGUCUAUUUCCCCUGGUAGGUUGUAAACUCUGUGGGGACAGGACUCAUGCCUCUCUGAUUCACCACUCCCACAUCUCAAAUGAUGCUCAGCACACUGCAACAACUUACAAACAUUUAGUGAAUAAAAAAAUCACUGAAAGUGGUAGUGAGAGGAUUAAAAUCUCCUUGCUCUCACCUUACAUUCUGGCCCUUUCCCACAGCACUCUCAAUGGCUUCUCUUUCCUCGCAGAGUUGAGCCACACAGCCAGCUGGGGGGCGGGCUUUUCCUGUUGCCUACACAGCAAUUCAUAGUUAAUUAAACCUUUGCAUAAACAGAACAUGGGAGGAUGUAAAAGUAAUGAGCUGACAUCCCAGUGUGUAUUAUGUGGGGCUGAGAAGAGAAUUUAAUUUAGAGAAGAAUUAUGCACAGGCAGAAGAGCAGUCCAUUAAAACAAACCAACUGUCUGGAAAGAGAUAAAACAAAAUGGAUUCUGCGUCCUGUGAAAUAGUGAAGCUGCACAUUUGAGGUGCUUUGGAAUCCUCAGAGCUGAGACGCUGUGAUGAGUGGGAAGGGGAAAACACUGGAUUAUGUAGGCAGGAGGGUAGAGGGGGUCCCUCCAGUUCUCCUGGGUGGGUUGCAAGAUGUGUCUUGUUGGAGCAUAGUUCUUGUCCAAGGAUUGCUUUGCUCACAACCCUUCUGUCCUGGGGUUCCCCCAGAGCAGAGUCUGAGCCAAGGAAUUGAGUACUAGCAUUUUGUUGGGAGGUGCAAGGAAUACGAGUAGGUAAGGAGGGAGGUAAUCUAAGGAAAGAAAGGCAGCAAAUAAGGAAUGAGCUAUUGGUUCAGCUACCAGUGGGCAACUAGAGAUUAAUCCCAUAAUUUGAGAGACCUUGAAAAAUGCACAGCUCAGAUUUCUCCCAUAAAAAGGAUGAGGGAGCUCGGAUAGUUAUACCCCCACACCCAUCAAUUGUUAGUUAAGGACUGUUCCAGGGGGAUGUUGACUUUGAGACACCAGAUAGGUGGGCAGAGUGGCAAAGCCUGAAGGCAGGAUCAUUUCUUUGGAGAAACCUUCCCUGACACCCCCACAUGAGAUUAGACCACGCUGUUAUACAUCCUUCCCCGUAGCACUUACCGUAAUUGUGAUAAAAAAUUAUGUAAUUUGUUUACUAUCCACCAUAUCCCACUAGAAACUCCAUGAGAGCAGCGACGUACCUGUCUUCUCCUGUCUUGUAUCCCUGGCACAGUGCCUGGCAUACAGAGGGCUCUCGUGAAAUAUUUGUUGUGUUAAUGAUACAGUCUAACUCCUACUUGGCAAAAAAGUUACAUACUGUAUCACUUGGGGUAGGCUAGGCUGCAGUAAUAAAUAUAACCAAAUAUGUAAUGGUUCAACCCAAUAAAAUGUCUUUUCAAAAUUUUAAAAUAAUUUUAAAUUUAUAGAAAAGUCACAAGAAUUGAACAAAGGAUUCCUAUGUACUCAACUCAUAUUCUCCAACUGUUGACAUUUUGUCAAAUUUGUUUUAUUAUUCUUUCUCUCUCUUUAUGUCCAUGUAUCUCUCUGUACACUCUUUCCAAAUAAUUUGAGAGCAAGCUGCAGAUA
rnacentral:lncRNA from 1 species